GACGAACGCUGGCGGCGUGCCUAAUACAUGCGAGUAGGACGCUGAAGGAGGAGCUUGCUUCUCUGGAUGAGUUGCGAACGGGUGAGUAACGCGUAGGUAACCUGCCUGGUAGCGGGGGAUAACUAUUGGAAACGAUAGCUAAUACCGCAUAAUAGUAGAUGUUGCAUGACAUUUGCUUAAAAGGUGCAAUUGCAUCACUACCAGAUGGACCUGCGUUGUAUUAGCUAGUUGGUGGGGUAACGGCUCACCAAGGCGACGAUACAUAGCCGACCUGAGAGGGUGAUCGGCCACACUGGGACUGAGACACGGCCCAGACUCCUACGGGAGGCAGCAGUAGGGAAUCUUCGGCAAUGGACGGAAGUCUGACCGAGCAACGCCGCGUGAGUGAAGAAGGGUUUCGGAUCGUAAAGCUCUGUUGUAAGAGAAGAACGAGUGUGAGAGUGGAAAGUUCACACUGUGACGGUAUCUUACCAGAAAGGGACGGCUAACUACGUG
rnacentral:rRNA from 1 species